rfam:Picea glauca, whole genome shotgun sequence.
AUGUACAUCCUACAUCAUAGCAUUGAUGCACCAGAUCCCAUUAGAACUCCACAAUUAAGCAUGCUCAUACUAGAGUUGUACUUGGAUGGGUGACCACCUAGAAAUUCCUAGUAUUUUACAUG